GAUGAACGCUGGCGGCGUGCUUAACACAUGCAAGUCGAGCGGUGAACCCGGAACUUUCUCUGUCUGAUCAGAGGCGCACGCGUGAGUAACACGUGAGGAACCUGCACCUGACUCUGGGAUAAGCGCUGGGAACGCCGUCUCAUACUCGAUAUGUGACGUGACCGCAUGUUGUGCGUUUGUAAAGAUCUGUCGUUUGGGCAUUGGCUGGUGGGCUAUCGGCUUGUUGGUGAGUUGAUGGCUAACCAAGGCGUCGACGGGUAGCCGGCCUGAGGGGGUGACAGGCCAUCCUGGGACUGACAGACGGCAGAGACUGGUAAGGGAGGCAGCAGUGCGGAAGAUUGCACAAUGGGCGCAAGGCUGAUGAAGCAGCGCCGCGGGAGGUAUGACGGUCUUAGGGUGGUAAACCACUUUUAGAAGUGAAGAAGCGAAAGUGACGGUACCUGCAGAAAAAGCGCCGGCUAACUACGUG
rnacentral:rRNA from 1 species